rfam:Camelus ferus unplaced genomic scaffold scaffold2748, whole genome shotgun sequence.
GCGGGUAUAACUCAGUGGUAGAGCUCAUGCUUAGCAUGUACGAGGGCCUGGGUUCAAUCCCCAGUACCUCCA